rnacentral:rRNA from 1 species
UACGUAGGGUGCAAGCGUUGUCCGGAAUUAUUGGGCGUAAAGAGCUCGUAGGCGGUCUGUCACGUCGGACGUGAAAAUCCAGGGCUCAACCCUGGACCUGCGUUCGAUACGGGCAGACUAGAGUUCGGUAGGGGAGACUGGAAUUCCUGGUGUAGCGGUGAAAUGCGUAGAUAUCAAGAGGAACACCUGAGGUGAAGACGGCACUCUGGGCCAGUACUGACACUGAGGAGCGAAAGCGUGGGUAGCGAUCCGG